AACCAAAAUAUGUACAAAUAAAAAUUUUAGCUGAUAAAUAAGAUUUUAACUACUCAAAUUUUUAAUAAAAAAAAUUUAAUGAUUAGAUAAGUAAUGUUAAAAAAUACUAAAUUUAUUUUUUUAAUUUACACUCGCUUAACUUCUAAUUAUUUUAUUUGCAUUAUUCCAUUCAAAUAACUUAAGAAUUUUUCUAAAUCUAAUAGUAAUUUAGUUAGAAUUUAAUUUUUUUAAUUUUUGUUAAUAAAAUAAUUUCAACCACGGACUAAUAUCUAACAUACCUAUUAAAUUUACCAUACUAUUUUAUUUAGUUAAAUAAAUUAGCUCAUAAAAAAUAAUUAGAUAGUUAAGAAUGUAUAAAUAAAAUAUUUAAAGUUGAAAGGGCUUAUUUCAAAAUGCACUAUAAUUAAGAGGUUCUGAGUAUAUUUUCACCUAUAAAAUACACUAGUGAAGAGUCCCGCGCUUUGCAGCGGGUAGAAACUAUAGUAGUAAUUAAUAAUAAUAAAAUAUUAAAUAUUUUUUUAUGUAUCUCACUUGGUACAUCUACCAACGAUGGAGAGAGAGAGAGAGAGUAAAAUAGCUCAUUCUAAAUAAAAAUUAAAUGGGAGAGAUGAAGAGACAUAUGUUGAGAAAGAGAGAAUAAAAUAGGGGAGAUGACGAGACGAAUGUUGAGAGAGAGAGAAUAAAAUGGCUCAUUCUAAAUAAAAAUUGAAUAGGGGAGAUGAAGAGACGUAUGUUGAGAGAGAGAAUAAAAUGGAUCAUUCUAAAUUAAAAAAAUUUCAAAAUUAGGAGGUUAUGACACAUCAGCUUAAAAUAUUGGGGAUUCAUAAAGAGUAAUAGAUAAGAAGAGAGAGAGAGAGAGCUUUAUAUUGGUACUAAAAACUUCUUACAAGAUACAUCCAUACAUUUUUAAAAUUAACUAAAAAUUUAUAAUUUACUAAAGGACUAUAAAGUAAAUAUUGAAAAGCUGAGGAGCCUUUGGGUCU
rnacentral:lncRNA from 1 species